GAGUGUAUUCAAGGAGUCGUGUUGCUUGGGACUGCAGCGCCAAGUGGGUGGUAAAUUCCAUCUAAAGCUAAAUAUUGACGAGAGACCGAUAGUGGAAAAGUACUGUGAAGGAAAGAUGAAAAGAACUUUGAAAAGAGAGUGAAAAGUACCUGAAAUCGUUGAAAGGGAAGGGUUUGCGCCCAGUGUUGGUGUUUGUUGUUUUCAGCUGUCUUUUUCG
rnacentral:rRNA from 1 species